CAGUAGCCGCGGGAACGCGUAGGGUGCGAGCGUUAAUCGGAAUUACUGGGCGUAAAGCGUGCGCAGGCGGUUAUGUAAGACAGAUGUGAAAUCCCCGGGCUCAACCUGGGAACUGCAUUUGUGACUGCAUGGCUAGAGUACGGUAGAGGGGGAUGGAAUUCCGCGUGUAGCAGUGAAAUGCGUAGAUAUGCGGAGGAACACCGAUGGCGAAGGCAAUCCCCUGGAUCUGUACUGACGCCCAUGCACGAAAGCGUGGGGAGCAAACAGGAUUAGAUACCCGCGUAGUCCCUGUCUCUUAUAC
rnacentral:rRNA from 1 species